AUUUAAAUAGUUUAAGUUAAAAUAUUGAUUUGUGGGAUCAAUGAUAUAUAAUAUAUUUUAAAUA
rnacentral:tRNA from 1 species